rnacentral:rRNA from 1 species
UACGAAGGGGGCUAGCGUUGCUCGGAAUUACUGGGCGUAAAGGGCGCGUAGGCGGACAGUUUAGUCAGAGGUGAAAGCCCAGGGCUCAACCCUGGAAUUGCCUUUGAUACUGACUGUCUUGAGUGUGGGAGAGGUGUGUGGAACUCCGAGUGUAGAGGUGAAAUUCGUAGAUAUUCGGAAGAACACCAGUGGCGAAGGCGACGCACUGGCCCAUUACUGACGCUGAGGCGCGAAAGCGUGGGGAGCAAACAGG